rfam:Picea glauca, whole genome shotgun sequence.
ACAUGCCUACAACAUAGCAACAAUGCAACAAAUUCCAUUAGAACUCCGCAGUCAAGUGUGCUCAAGCUAUAGUAGUACUAGGAUGGGUGACCGCCCAGGAAUUCCCACUGUUUUACAUGCC